UGGUGGUACAAGCACCAAAUUUGGCAGGAUGAUUCUCAAGGUAGUGCUUACCAAAUCUGGUCAAUUGACCACUUGAAAAUACAACAGUUUUUUCACAGG